rnacentral:rRNA from 1 species
UGGGGAAUAUUGCGCAAUGGGGGAAACCCUGACGCAGCGACGCCGCGUGAGCGAAGAAGGCCUUCGGGUCGUAAAGCUCUGUUGUAAGGGACGAAGGUUACCUGUGUGAAUAAUGCAGGUAAGUGACGGUACCUUACUAGAAAGCCCCGGCUAACUACGUGCCAGCAGCCGCGGUAAGACGUAGGGGGCUAGCGUUGUCCGGAAUUACUGGGCGUAAAGGGCACGUAGGCGGGAAUUUAAGUCAGGUGUGAAAGACCGCAGCUCAACUGCGGGGUUGCACUUGAAACUGGAUUUCUUGAGGGCAGGAGAGGAAAGUGGAAUUCCUGGUGUAGCGGUGAAAUGCGUAGAAAUCAGGAGGAACACCGGUGGCGAAGGCGACUUUCUGGACUGACCCUGACGCUGAGGUGCGAAAGCGUGGGUAGCAAACAGG